AUAAUUUUUUUUUUAAUUAAGAACUUUUUACAGGAAUUGACCCCACAAAGAUUCUCGGACAUCGUCAUUUCUCUUAAAUCGAUUAAAUAACUACCAUUCGAUCGUGGCGUGUCUCAAUCUCUGAUUUGAAUCGCGUCUCCUCCCUCCCAGAAACCCUCUUCCGCCCCGAAAACAUCAACCCUUCCAGAAACCCUAAUCUCCGAUCGAAACCCCAACCUUCCAUCGUUCUCAUCUCAUAAUCGAUUUCCCUUUCUUUCGGUGGAUUUUGGAACUCGCUUUCGCUUCCUUCGGCGAUUCGAUGCAGAUCACCGAGGAGCAGAGGAGGAGGGCGGAGGCGAACCGGCUAGCUGCCCUCGAGAAGCGGAAGCGGGCGGCGGAGGUAGCGGAUGUCGAAUCUUGGAAGCUCUCCAAGUGCCGCAACAUGCCCAGCCCAGCGACGGUGGAAGCCGCUGUCACGCUGCGGCCGCUCUCCCCGUUUCGGGCCGUCUUUGAGAUCUGUUCUCCUGACGAGUUCUCUGUCACCCCGGAGCCUCUACAGGGUUCUUGGUUCCCCGGCGAGGCCGAUUGUCUCCAGAUCAUCGAGACUUGCGUCUCAUCGGUUGUUCCUUUCUACCUCACGCUUAGCCAGGGUGGUCGAAGGACUUCUGUCUUCAAGCUUUCGGAUUAUGACUCAGUGUUGAGAUGCAUAAAGAAGUUAGCAGUGGUUGAACUGCAAGAAAUCCCUUACACGACACGUUUGGUCGUUGAGAAGUUCUCACAGUCGGUAGGCAGUUGGUGGGUACCUUGCAUGGAGGGCCACCGCACGGAGGAACAAGUUGAUGAGCUUCUUGGGAAACUACCCAGGUCUCUAAGAAAUGCACUUCUUCCUUUUCAACUGGAAGGUGUUAGAUUUGCACUUCGAAGGGGUGGGCGAUGCCUCAUUGCAGAUGAAAUGGGUCUAGGAAAGACUAUACAGGCAAUCUCAGUAGCAAGUUGCUUCAGUGAUGAAGGCCCUGUCCUAAUUGUUUGUCCAGCUGUCUUGCGAUUUUCAUGGGCUGAGGAAUUAGAGCACUGGCUUCCCACCCUUUUACCAAAGGAUAUCCAUCUUGUAUUUGGUCAUCGAGAUAAUCUUGACUACUUGGAAAGGCAUCCAAAGGUGGUUGUUGUUUCAUAUACAAUGUUGAAUCGUUUGCAGAAGACUAUGUUGGAAAGAAAUUGGUCACUUAUGAUUGUCGAUGAAUCACAUAAUGUACGCUGCACAAAGAAACAAAUGGAGUCAGAAGAGACAAAAUCUGUACUUGCAUUGGCAGCAAAGAUCAAGCGCAUCAUUCUACUUUCAGGGACACCUUCUUUGUCAAGGCCCUAUGACAUUUACCAUCAGAUCAAUAUGUUAUGGCCUGGGUUGCUUGGAAAGGAUAAGUAUGAAUUUGCAAAGAGUUAUUGCUCAGUCAAACUUGUUCAGCGCUCUCAUGGGGUUGUUUUUAAGGACUUUUCAAAGGGUAUCAGACUGGGAGAGUUAAAUAUACUACUUGGGCAAACCGUGAUGGUAAGGCGUUUGAAGGAACAUGUAUUAACACAACUACCACCCAAGCGUCGCCAAAUUGUAUGGGUGGUGCUGAAGGCAGCUGAUAUUCUUCUAGCAACAUCAUCAUGUUCUACAAGUGGCACAAUGGUCAUGGAUGGAGAAUCCAGAAAGGAAUCUUUUGUAGAUUGUUUUUCUGACCAAGAUAAAUGUGAUGGAGAUCAGAAACUGGAGAAAUAUGAUGCCUGUCCAGGCACUGAGUGCAGAAAAUCUCAAAAGCAUCUUUCCCAUCAAGAAAUUGGCAUCGCAAAAUUAUCUGGAUUUCGUGAGUGGUUCUCCAAUCAUUUCAUAUUUAGAGAAUCAGAGGAUGUAGAUAGUGUAGAGAUGGGACUUUGUUCUCAGAAAACAAUAAUAUUUGCUCAUCAUUUAAAGGUUCUAGAUGGAAUACAGGCAUUUAUAUGUGAGAAAGGGAUUAAAUUCGUUCGACUUGAUGGCAACGUACUUGGUAGAGAGAGGAAACAUGCUGUUGAAACUUUUCGUUUCUCAACAGAGGUGAUGAUUGCAAUAAUUGGAAUAACUGUCGGAAGCUGUGGGCUAGACUUUUCAUCGUCACAGAAUGUCAUCUUCUUAGAGCUGCCAGAAACUUCAGCAGAAAUGAUUCAGGCUGAAGAUAGAGCUCAUAGGCAAGGGCAAAGUAAUGCGGUCAACAUUUACAUUUUUUGUGCAAAGGGUACAUCUGAUGAAUCACGGUGGCUGCACUUAAAUAAGAGUUUCUUUUGUUGUUCAUCCAUGACUAAUGGGAAAAAGUAUGCCAUAAAACAGAUAGAGGUGGGCUCAGUUCUUCACCUGAAAUAUAAUGAUAAUUCUCUGAGCGAUUCUUCUAUGGGAAUUUCCACAGUUGACCUGAGUAGAAGUUCAGUCAAGCAGACUAUGCAAGCUAUUGAAAUGUAUAACAUAACAGCUCAAGGCAAUGAAAGCAGUGUUCAACAUAAUCAGACUACCAAGGAUCACGAUAUGGAUGGCGAGGAGCAUUCUUUGAUACAUGAAAAUCAAAAUAUCGAUGGCCAUGGAGAACAUACAGAACAAUCUAACACUGAUUCUAUCUGCAAAACAAUAAAAUCAUACAAUGACACACAGUUUGAUUUGUUGGAGAAUAGUGCCUUUGAGGAGAAGCUACUCUCUGGAAUGUCAAAUGAUGUUGAGGUUGUAGUAUCCGAGCCAGUAAUAGUUGAUGAGCAUUACAAUACUCAAGCAGAGUGGCUUCGGUUUGAGGUGAGCCAAUAUACAGGGCGGGUUCACUUGUACAUUUGCAUUCCUGGAACGGAUGAAAGACCUAGACCAGUUUUUGAAAAUUUUCGUCCAGAGGAAUUAAAGUCAAUCUUAGUUUCUGCUGGUAAUACAUUUAAGGAAGCAAGUCCAGAAACCCUGAAGACAAAUCCUGCUUACUGGAAUGUUAUCAAGAAAUUUUUUGAAGAAUGGAAUGGUUUAAGGCCUAUUGAGCGGAAUAAACUUCUUGGAAAGCCUCUACAACUUCCUCUUAUUGCUGAGCUUUGCUAUUUGAAAGAUAGCAUCAACCAUGUUCAUGGAGGAUUGCUGAGAGGUGGAAGUAAUAGACGGGUUACCCCUUUAAGUGAUAUUAGCUGUCCUUUACCAGAAAAUUCAUUCUGGAAGAAGAUUACUCUACAUCAUGGUGCUGCAAAGGAAAGAGAGUACAAGCAGGCCUGGACCACAGAAGAUGUACCUCUUUGUAAACUUUGCCAAGACCCUUGCAAUGGAAAGCUUGCAAAAGCACCCGAAUACUUUGAAGAUCUAUUUUGUAACCUGAGUUGCUUUCAAGAAUACCGGAUAAGAACUAGUCGAAGCGCCCUUCGGGAGGCACUUUUCCAAAUAGAAAAUGGUGUAUGUACACAUUGCAAGCUGGAUUGUCACGAACUAGUCAAAUGUAUAAGACCUUUAUCCAAAUCUCGGCGGAAGGAAUACAUUGAAAAAGUUGCUCCAAAGUUGGCACAAAAGAAGAAGUUGCUUGAUAAGCUUGUCCAUGAACCAACUGAGGGGAAUGCCUGGCAUGCAGACCACAUAAUUCCGGUAUACAAGGGAGGAGGUGAAUGUAGCCUAGAAAAUAUGAGAACCUUGUGUGUGGCCUGUCAUUCGGAGGUCACCAUGGCUCAACAAGAUGAGCGACGCUUAGAAAGGAUGCAGGCCAAAAAGCAACUAAAAAUAGCCAUGAAGGAACUGGAAAAUAUUAAACCUUUUAACUCUACUGCUGAUGAAGGUGGAGAUAAACAGGUUGCUGAAGAAGACCCUCUGUUCGUCAAGGUCCCUGGUAGUGUUUAUUCGAGAAAUGAGCAAUGAAGAUUCGAAAACUUCAUUGAAAUGCUGCAUCCUAGAGCUGUUCUGUUGUUCAAAGGACUUUUUAGGGAAGUAGACUUGGAGAAGCGGGUGGAAAAUGUACUGUAGAACAAGAUGGAAUUACUUCCAGAGGAAUGUUUAUAGCGUCUCCUAGAAGAUAGAAACAGUCAUGAUUGUGACCUGGGUCAUGGUGUCCGCACAGAGCUUUAUCUGAUUUCGACUACGUCCGCUGCCUUCCAUGAGCAUCCAGUGCUACAGCUUUGGCACGCACUUGUAUUCACAAGAAAUUUCUGGAAGCUGAAGAAUUAGAAAUCAAAGAAACAAUCUGGUGGCCAGCCGAAGGAUGUUUGCGAUUUCAUUUAAAGAUCACACCAGGAGGGUAAACAAAUGAAAUUUAAAACGUUGACGCCAUUGAAGAUGAGAUAUGUUGUUCUGUUCCGUCUUAUUCUUUUCUUUUGGGGAGGGGAGGUUAGAUGAAUAUUGUGGUGUUUCUUUAUGUUUCGGAGUUUGGUGUAUGCAUUUUCAAUUUGAUGAUCCAAGAUUGGUUUCUAAAGAAGGAUUCUUCUUG